GUAGGGGAGCAAGCGUUGUUCGGAAUCAUUGGGCGUAAAGAGCGCGUAGGUGGCUUGGUAAGUCUGUUGUGAAAGCCCACAGCUCAACUGUGGAACUGCGACAGAAACUGCCUGGCUAGAGUGCGGGAGAGGAAAGUGGAAUUCCCAGUGUAGAGGUGAAAUUCGUAGAUACUGGGAGGAACACCGGUGGCGAAGGCGGCUUUCUGGACCGCAACUGACGCUGAGGCGCGAAAGCUAGGGGAGCGAACGGGAUUAGAUACCCCGGUAGUCCUAGCCGUAAACGAUGGGCACUAGGUGUAGGGGGUAUCGACCCCUUCUGUGCCGUAGCUAACGCAUUAAGUGCCCCGCCUGGGGAGUACGGUCGCAAGACUA
rnacentral:rRNA from 1 species